rnacentral:rRNA from 1 species
GACGAACGCUGGCGGCGUGCUUAACACAUGCAAGUCGAACGGUAAGGCCCUUCGGGGUACACGAGUGGCGAACGGGUGAGUAACACGUGGGUGAUCUGCCCUGCACUUCGGGAUAAGCCUGGGAAACUGGGUCUAAUACCGGAUAGGACUCCUGGCUUCAUGGUUGGGGGUGGAAAGCUUUUGCGGUGUGGGAUGGGCCCGCGGCCUAUCAGCUUGUUGGUGGGGUAAUGGCCUACCAAGGCGACGCGGGGUAGCCGGCCCGCGAGGGUGACCGGGCACACUGGGACUGAGAUACGGCCCAGACUCCUACGGGAGGCAGCAGUGGGGAAUGUUGCACAAUGGGCGCAAGCCUGAUGCAGCGACGCCGCGUGAGGGAUGACGGCCUUCGGGUUGUAAACCUCUUUCAGCUAUGACGAAGCGCAAGUGACGGUAGUAGCAGAAGAAGGACCGGCCAACUACGUGCCAGCCGCCGCGGUAA